rnacentral:rRNA from 1 species
UACGUAGGGUGCAAGCGUUGUCCGGAAUUAUUGGGCGUAAAGAGCUCGUAGGCGGUUUGUCGCGUCUGCUGUGAAAACCCGAGGCUCAACCUCGGGCCUGCAGUGGGUACGGGCAGACUAGAGUGCGGUAGGGGAGAUUGGAAUUCCUGGUGUAGCGGUGGAAUGCGCAGAUAUCAGGAGGAACACCGGUGGCGAAGGCGGGACUCUGGGCCGAUACUGACGCUGGAGGAGCGAAAGCGUGGGGAGCAAACAGG